rnacentral:rRNA from 1 species
AGAGUUUGAUCCUGGCUCAGAACGANCGNUGGCGGCGUGAUAAGACAUGCAGUGGGACGCUAAUCAAGGGUAGCAAUAUUCGUUGGUUGGAGUCGCGUAAGGGUGCGUAACACGUGGGUAAUUUGCCGUGAAGCUUGGAAUAACUUGCCGAAAGGUAAGCUAAUACCGAAUGUGACUUGUGCUGGGCAUCCAGUAUCAGUCAAAGCCGGGGAUCGUAAGACCUGGCACUUCAUGAUAAGCCCGCGGCCUAUCAGCUAGUUGGUGAGGUAACGGCUCACCAAGGCUAAGACGGGUAGCUGGUCUUAGAGGACGACCAGCCACACUGGAACUGAGACACGGUCCAGACACCUACGGGUGGCAGCAGUCGAGAAUUUUUCACAAUGGGCGAAAGCCUGAUGGAGCGACGCCGCGUGGGGGAUGAAUGGCUUCGGCCCGUAAACCCCUGUCAUUCGGGAUCAAAUCUGAUAACCUAACACGUUAUCAGUUGAUAGUACUGAAAGAGGAAGGGACGGCUAACUCUGUGCCAGCAGCCGCGGUAAUACAGAGGUCCCAAGCGUUGUUCGGAUUUACUGGGCGUAAAGGAGCGUAGGUGGCAUUCUAAGUCUGAUGUGAAAGCUCUGAGCUUAACUCAGAAAUGGCAUUAGAAACUAGUUUGCUUGAGGAUUGGAGGGGAGAUUGGAAUUCUUGGUGUAGCAGUGAAAUGCGUASAUAUCAAGAGGAACACCAGUGGCGAAGGCGAAUCUCUGGACAAUUCCUGACACUGAUGCUCGAAAGCCUAUGGGACAAACGGGAUUAGAUACCCCGGUAGUCCUAGCUGUAAACGGUGCACGCUUGCUGUAGGUGGAAUCGACCCCGCCUGUAGCGAAGCUAACGCGUUAAGCGUGCCGCCUGGGAAGUACGGCCGCAAGGUUAAAACUCAAAGGAAUUGACGG